ACUCCUACGGGAGGCAGCAGUGGGGAAGUAUUGGACAAUGGGGAAACCCGUACGAUCCAGCAAUGCCGCGUGAGUGAUGAAGGCCUAGGGUUGGUAAAGACUCUUUUACCUAGGGAGUGAUAAUGACAGUACCUGGAGAAUAAGCUCCGGCUAACUCCGUGCCAGCAGCCGCGGUAAUACGGAGGGAGCUAGCGUUGUUCGGAAUUACUGGGCGUAAAGCGCACGUAGGCGGUUACUCAAGUCAGAGGUGAAAGCCCGGGGCUCAACCCCGGAACUGCCUUUGAAACUAGGUAACUAGAAUCCUGGAGAGGUGAGUGGAAUUCCGAGUGUAGAGGUGAAAUUCGUAGAUAUUCGGAAGAACACCAGUGGCGAAGGCGGCUCACUGGACAGGUAUUGACGCUGAGGUGCGAAAGCGUGGGAGCAAACAGGAUUAGAUACCCUGGUAGGAUAGCG
rnacentral:rRNA from 1 species